GGGUUGUGAGGUUAAGCGACUAAGCGUACACGGUGGAUGCCCUGGCAGUCAGAGGCGAUGAAGGGCGUACUAAUCUGCGAUAAGCGCCGGUAAGGUGAUAUGAACCGUUAUAACCGGCGAUACCCGAAUGGGGAAACCCAGUGUGAUUCGUCACACUAUCAUUAACUGAAUCCAUAGGUUAAUGAGGCGAACCGGGGGAACUGAAACAUCUAAGUACCCCGAGGAAAAGAAAUCAACCGAGAUUCCCCCAGUAGCGGCGAGCGAACGGGGAGGAGCCCAGAGCCUGAAUCAGCAUGUGUGUUAGUGGAAGCGUCUGGAAAGGCGCGCGAUACAGGGUGACAGCCCCGUACACAAAAGCGCAUGUGCUGUGAGCUCGAUGAGUAGGGCGGGACACGUGGUAUCCUGUCUGAAUAUGGGGGGACCAUCCUCCAAGGCUAAAUACUCCUGACUGACCGAUAGUGAACCAGUACCGUGAGGGAAAGGCGAAAAGAACCCCGGCGAGGGGAGUGAAAAAGAACCUGAAACCGUGUACGUACAAGCAGUGGGAGCACANNNNNNNNNNNNNNACUGCGUACCUUUUGUAUAAUGGGUCAGCGACUUAUAUUCUGUAGCAAGGUUAACCGAAUAGGGGAGCCGGAGGGAAACCGAGUCUUAAUUGGGCGUUAAGUUGCAGGGUAUAGACCCGAAACCCGGUGAUCUAGCCAUGGGCAGGUUGAAGGUUGGGUAACACUAACUGGAGGACCGAACCGACUAAUGUUGAAAAAUUAGCGGAUGACCUGUGGCUGGGGGUGAAAGGCCAAUCAAACCGGGAGAUAGCUGGUUCUCCCCGAAAGCUAUUUAGGUAGCGCCUCGUGAAUUCAUCUCCGGGGGUAGAGCACUGUUUCGGCUAGGGGGCCAUCCCGGCUUACCAACCCGAUGCAAACUGCGAAUACCGGAGAAUGUUAUCACGGGAGACACACGGCGGGUGCUAACGUCCGUCGUGAAGAGGGAAACAACCCAGACCGCCAGCUAAGGUCCCAAAGUCAUGGUUAAGUGGGAAACGAUGUGGGAAGGCCCAGACAGCCAGGAUGUUGGCUUAGAAGCAGCCAUCAUUUAAAGAAAGCGUAAUAGCUCACUGGUCGAGUCGGCCUGCGCGGAAGAUGUAACGGGGCUAAACCAUGCACCGAAGCUGCGGCAGCGACACUGUGUGUUGUUGGGUAGGGGAGCGUUCUGUAAGCCUGCGAAGGUGGCCUGUGAGGGUUGCUGGAGGUAUCAGAAGUGCGAAUGCUGACAUAAGUAACGAUAAAGCGGGUGAAAAGCCCGCUCGCCGGAAGACCAAGGGUUCCUGUCCAACGUUAAUCGGGGCAGGGUGAGUCGACCCCUAAGGCGAGGCCGAAAGGCGUAGUCGAUGGGAAACGGGUUAAUAUUCCCGUACUUGGUGUUACUGCGAAGGGGGGACGGAGAAGGCUAUGUUGGCCGGGCGACGGUUGUCCCGGUUUAAGCGUGUAGGUGUGUGUUCCAGGUAAAUCCGGUUCACUUUAACACUGAGGCGUGACGACGAGGCACUACGGUGCUGAAGCAACAAAUGCCCUGCUUCCAGGAAAAGCCUCUAAGCAUCAGGUAACAUCAAAUCGUACCCCAAACCGACACAGGUGGUCAGGUAGAGAAUACCAAGGCGCUUGAGAGAACUCGGGUGAAGGAACUAGGCAAAAUGGUGCCGUAACUUCGGGAGAAGGCACGCUGACACGUAGGUGAAGUGAUUUACUCAUGGAGCUGAAGUCAGUCGAAGAUACCAGCUGGCUGCAACUGUUUAUUAAAAACACAGCACUGUGCAAACACGAAAGUGGACGUAUACGGUGUGACGCCUGCCCGGUGCCGGAAGGUUAAUUGAUGGGGUCAGCGCAAGCGAAGCUCCUGAUCGAAGCCCCGGUAAACGGCGGCCGUAACUAUAACGGUCCUAAGGUAGCGAAAUUCCUUGUCGGGUAAGUUCCGACCUGCACGAAUGGCGUAAUGAUGGCCAGGCUGUCUCCACCCGAGACUCAGUGAAAUUGAACUCGCUGUGAAGAUGCAGUGUACCCGCGGCAAGACGGAAAGACCCCGUGAACCUUUACUAUAGCUUGACACUGAACAUUGAGCCUUGAUGUGUAGGAUAGGUGGGAGGCUUUGAAGUGUGGACGCCAGUCUGCAUGGAGCCGACCUUGAAAUACCACCCUUUAAUGUUUGAUGUUCUAACGUGGACCCGUUACCCGGGUUGCGGACAGUGUCUGGUGGGUAGUUUGACUGGGGCGGUCUCCUCCUAAAGAGUAACGGAGGAGCACGAAGGUUGGCUAAUCCUGGUCGGACAUCAGGAGGUUAGUGCAAUGGCAUAAGCCAGCUUGACUGCGAGCGUGACGGCGCGAGCAGGUGCGAAAGCAGGUCAUAGUGAUCCGGUGGUUCUGAAUGGAAGGGCCAUCGCUCAACGGAUAAAAGGUACUCCGGGGAUAACAGGCUGAUACCGCCCAAGAGUUCAUAUCGACGGCGGUGUUUGGCACCUCGAUGUCGGCUCAUCACAUCCUGGGGCUGAAGUAGGUCCCAAGGGUAUGGCUGUUCGCCAUUUAAAGUGGUACGCGAGCUGGGUUUAGAACGUCGUGAGACAGUUCGGUCCCUAUCUGCCGUGGGCGCUGGAGAACUGAGGGGGGCUGCUCCUAGUACGAGAGGACCGGAGUGGACGCAUCACUGGUGUUCGGGUUGUCAUGCCAAUGGCACUGCCCGGUAGCUAAAUGCGGAAGAGAUAAGUGCUGAAAGCAUCUAAGCACGAAACUUGCCCCGAGAUGAGUUCUCCCUGAGACUUAAAGUCUCCUGAAGGAACGUUGAAGACGACGACGUUGAUAGGCCGGGUGUGUAAGCGCAGCGAUGCGUUGAGCUAACCGGUACUAAUGAACCGUGAGGCUUAACCUUACAACGCCGAAG
rnacentral:rRNA from 1 species